rnacentral:tRNA from 1 species
GGAAAGUUGGCAGAAUGGUUAUUGCAGCAGUUUGCUAAACUGUAGACUUAAAAAAGGUUUGCCGGUUCGAAUCAGGCACUUUCCG